UAGGGAAUACAUCCCAUAUCCUAGGUGGCUUAGAAUAUUGUUUCGUGACAAAUGAAUUCCAUAUCGAAAAAACAAAACCCCUCUUUUGGAAUUUUGCAUAUUUUUGUCAAUAUAGAUUGCUUGAAAUUCUUACUAUUUCCACUAUUUAGACCACAAGAACAUGUUGUGUUUCUUCCAAAUAGAUUUGGAAGUGUGCAUGAUAAUGUACAGCACCGCACACCAAUAUAGCAUUCUUGAUGUUGUCUAUAUUUUUUAACAUACUUUCAACCUUUUGUCAUUUAUAAUCAUUUUAUGGUAUUUUGUGACCAAUAAUCACACAACAGAAGAGAAGGCAGAUCUCCUCCAACAAUGGUGAAUGCCUAAACAUUUUUCUGAUUGAUUAUCCAAUCGCCAUUAUUGAACAAGCGCGGGAAGAUUUGAAAAAGAACCCUUUAAAACUUGUAGGGUUCUAAAACCAAUCGCCACAGAGUUCAUCAUCCUUUUUGUUGUGAGUUUCAAACAAAUUCAUACAAAUCCAUGUUUGCUCCAUCAAUUUUUCAUCAUUCACACGGUCCAGAUGAAUCCGAUUCAAAAGUUUUAGCUCAUGGGUAUGGCUGAAGAUCGGAUCAUGGCCCAUUUUUAGUCUAUGAAAAUGAAAUAGGACCCUUAUGCCCUAAAUUUUCAGAGUACUGAUGGAAUAAGCUCACCUAACAACGAAGGGAGCAAGCUUAUCUGGAAAUGCAUUGAAUAAUGCGAAUUAACGCCACUGGCAGUUGCACAUGUUGCUUCUGCAAUCCACUCUCUCGUCGAGCGUGAAAUUGUUACAUCAUUAAACAGAGCUUCUUCAGCGAGGGAAAAAAAACUGGGCGGGAGGUUUAGGUGAAAAGGAGACGAACGUGACAGCCAACAAACGCCGUAUAGAGCUUUGUUUUUUGCUAAGAUCGAGGCCAAUAAGUCUUGUGCACCAGCUGUUUGAUGAAUUGUCUCAACCAAGUGAAUUUCAUUGGAUAUUUGGAUUAAUAAAAACAAGUGUUGGGUUGAUUUCUGAACACACCACAAAUAACAUUUGGUUGGUUCAGUCCAAAAUUAUGAGUCCGUUCUUUUUUCAAUGGAAGACAUUAAAUUAGAUUAGUUUGGUGUUACAAAUACAGUUACCCACCAUCACACCUUCGAUCCUUUAUUCAUAACUUAUACAGUAUUAAAUUGGUCAUAACUCACCUCCUCCCUUCCCUUGCCUUUUUGGGUGUUAUUAUGGAAAAGUCCAAUAGUGACAGCUUCUAUAACUGUCAGAAGAAACUUCCGAGAAGAUUUAGAUGGAGCCACCGAUGAUGCUCCCUCCUCCAACUAAGAACAGAUGCGUCCAUUAAAAGCCUUCUAGUCUAAGUCCUUUUUCUCUCCGUUUAUAUUACUUACCCCCCAAAUUAUUAAUGUCAUAUCUCAUGAGAACAAUCUAAAAGCUCUAAACAUAAAACUUAUUAUCUGGGAUGCCUAGGGAAAUAUAUUGUUAUGGUUAUAAUAAUAGGCCUCUAUAAACAGUUAAAACAAAAAGUUAAGCCAUGCUCAUAACAGGCAUCGACCAAUUUGGUAGAGGAGCCGGGAACAGUUCAACCAUUUAUUGAUAAUAACAUGAAACAUCUCAGUCCCCUCUGACAUAAAUGGGCCAGCAAGUUCUCUCUAUCGCAACCAAUUAUGGCGGAAAAAACCGUCUGAAAAUUUCAUCAUAAAAGUUUGUUUGUUUGUUAUUUAAUUACUUACUUAUUUUUACUGAUAGUCUUUUGAUUGACAUGACAAUAAUUUCUCCUAUAAUAAUUUUAUUCUCGUGAGAGACUAGGGACAACGCACAGCAGCUUCAAGGUGAAAUUAACAGGAAGAGCUUAACAUGAACUAUGGUCUUGUGGAGUUGGAUUCUCCAGACUAAUUUGAUAUGAUUAAUUUUAGUGGGAGGGUUUAUAUCUUAUAUGCAAAUACCAUCAAGCAUAGACUUUUUAUUUUGUAUGACUAAAUGUAUUUUGAAGUCGGAAGAAAAUAAAUAUUAUAAUUUAAUUGGCAAUAUUAUAAUUUAAUAUUGCCAAUUUGAGCACCGUUCAAUCAGGAAAAACUUUGUAUCAUCGAUGAAGAGGUCGAAAGUUUAAAUCUCCACCUUCACCCUUGCAUAUUGUUGAAAUGAAAGAAAAAAAAAGUAAAACUACAUUAUAAUAACUACUUUCUAAGUGAAAUUUGCUUGCUCACUCCUAAUUAUGGACUCUUGUUUUGUGUUUUAGCAACAUUUAAGCCGAAUUUAGCUUUUAAAUAAAGUAACCCGUUUGACAUGGGAAGACGGGCUGGUGGAGUUGGAUUCUCCAAGUUGUUUAUCUGUUGAUAAAUCGACUUGUUAACAUUCAAGGUCCCUGAAAUCUAGUAGUAGGAGCUUUGAGACCUCGCUGAUGUAAAAAGAUAGAGAAAGUGGCCAUUCAAUGGGCAUUUGAGUUAAUAAAACUGAUUUAUUUGGGCUUCUCUGCCUGAGAUUGGGUAGCCGAAAUCCCAUUUUUUAACCUCAGGGCCUACAACAACCUUGAGGAGACGCAGCCCGAAGUUUUGGGCUUCUAAUAAGAACCUGGUAAAGGCUACUACUACGGUAAAGUAAUUGUGAUUCUUUUUCAUGCUUCUUAAAGGUGUGGUGUAAACGGCAUCAGUCUUUCCCGGAUUUUAGUCUUUCUUAUUUGCAUUCCAUUUGGAAAGUUUUCAUGUAAUCCACCAAUAGGCUUUUGGAGCUAUUGCUUUGCUCCUAGUCCUAUUAUUUCAUUCAUCAAUGAGAUUCGUUUUUCUUCCCAAAAAAAGAAAACAAGCUACUGCUACCACUGCUAGGAAUCUAUCUCCAGCCUCUACAGUUACAAGAUAUUACUUUGUAAUGAAGUAAAAGGUAUAAUAAAAAAAGAAAGAAGAAGACUUGUGUUAAGGUAAAUACAUAGUUUGUAACAUGGUUGCUUAAGCGCUGGAUCAUCGAUUGAAGCUGGUGGUUCCUUUCCAAAUAUCAUCUCACAGCUCAUGUCAUCAAAAUCUGCAAAGAAAAAGACAGUUAUUGGAAUCACGUUAAAGCUUCUUCCCCCCUGCAUAUUGAUUCAUUUCUUGGUCCUUGACAUGAAUACUAAUGGCUCCCAGCUACUCGUUACAUCAUGGUGCACAAUCAACAUCCUAAUACUAAUGCCUCUUCUUGGUUGCAUUUUUUACACUUGUGAUGAUUAAUGUAUUCAUGGACAAGAUCGAUGAUUGGCUCAGUGUGAAAUUCUGCUUGAUGAUCGAUUAACGAUGGAAAUUCAGCUUUUAAUUCUUGGAUUAUAACCAUGUAGCAAAAUUAAGCUGCAGGUUUGGAAUCCCACUUAGCUUGGUUGGGGCCUACCUGCAGUUCUUUUGUACCCAAAAUGGUUCGUACAUGGGACCCUCCAUUCACAUUGACAAACAUGAUCCGUUCCACCAUUUGGUGCUGGGACAGGACAAGUCUAGAAGGGACUAGUGCCUCAAACACUGCCGAUUUAUCAACUUGGCCAUUGAAAAUCGUAUUAUAAUAUUCAAUAUAGUGCUAAAGGUGAAGUUCUUGAUGUCCACCAGUAUGCCUCCUCAUGUCAGUCUUUUCAACCUUGUGAAUCUCUUCUAAUUCUGAUCUUGGUUGUUUAAUAUCCUCCGUUUAAAUACUAUCUAUUCUCAGCAAAUUCUUUGACAUCGGUCUUAAAUGGUGGUGUCAAGCACUUAUUUAGUUUUCCAAUACAGAAGAUAGAGGACCGGAUGAAUUCAACACGUGGGUAGAGGAUUUAAACAUUUAUUCUCUUGAUUGACGAUACUUGUCGUAAUAAUAGGAUUUAAAUUUUUAAUCUAUUGAUUGAUGAUACUUGUCUUAACAA